ensembl:lncRNA
AUUCCAGCCCUUAUGAAAUUGGCAAGAUACUGCUGUCUGCAAUUUUUCCCAAAGACUGGAGACCCUUACUCACUGGAGAUCCUUACCAGGCACUUCUGUCAAAGGUCAUGUUAUCCAAUCAUCUAAAUCAAUCGACUGACAUUGUAGUGUUCAAUGAAGGCAAACCUUACAGUAUUAUUUAGAUUGAAUGGUGACCAUUUGUUCCUCAGACCAACUGUUCAUCUGUCACAGAGGAAAGAUGUGAGGGCAAUGUCUAGAGAAUUACUUAAAGGUGUAUCACUCCAGGAAGUCUGUUCACAGGUCCAGGCCCAGUGGCAUCAGUGCAUCAGUCAUAUCCAAACACCUUAUCCAGUCCAGAAAAGUGUCAGCUCCUCAAGCCAUAGAGGCAUACAUUGUCCAGGUUAUUCUCACUACCCCCGGCUGUGAUGAUGGGCUAUAUAGUAUUAUAUAUAUGAUGGGUUAUAUAGUAGUAUAGUUAUGAGGGGUUAUAUAGUAGUAUAGUUAUGAGGGGUUAUAUAGUAGUAUAUUUAUGAUGGGUUAUAUAGUAGUAUAGUUAUGAGGGGUUAUAUAGUAGUAUA